CAGUUUUUUGGAGGGCAAGUUUGGUGCCAGCAGCCGCGGUAAUUCCAGCUUCAAUAGCGUAUAUUAAAGUUGUUGCAGUUAAAAAGCUUGUAGUUGAAUUUUGGGGUCAGCAGGUUGGUCGUGCCAAUGGUAUGAACUGGCCUUGUGAUUCCUCCCUCUUGAUGAGCCGUAAUGUCAUUAAUUUGGUGUGCGG
rnacentral:rRNA from 1 species